GACGAACGCUGGCGGCGUGCCUAAUACAUGCAAGUCGAGCGGACAGAAGGGAGCUUGCUCCCGGAAGUUAGCGGCGGACGGGUGAGUAACACGUGGGCAACCUACCCUGUAGAUCGGGAUAACAUCGAGAAAUCGGUGCUAAUACCGGAUAAUCAUUUGAAGUGCAUGCUUCGAAUGUAAAAGAUGGCUCCGACUAUCACUACGGGAUGGGCCGGCGGCGCAUUAGCUAGUUGGUAAGGUAAUGGCUUACCAAGGCAACGAUGCGUAGCCGACCUGAGAGGGUGAUCGGCCACACUGGGACUGAGACACGGCCCAGACUCCUACGGGAGGCAGCAGUAGGGAAUCUUCCGCAAUGGACGAAAGUCUGACGGAGCAACGCCGCGUGAGUGAUGAAGGUUUUCGGAUCGUAAAGCUCUGUUGUUAGGGAAGAACAAGUGCCGUUUGAAUAAGGCGGCACCUUGACGGUACCUAACCAGAAAGCCACGGCUAACUACGUGCCAGCCGCCGCCGUAAUAC
rnacentral:rRNA from 1 species